UACGAAGGGGGCUAGCGUUGUUCGGAAUUACUGGGCGUAAAGCGCACGUAGGCGGAUCGAUCAGUUAGGGGUGAAAUCCCAGGGCUCAACCCUGGAACUGCCUCUAAUACUGUCGAUCUGGAGUUCGAGAGAGGUGAGUGGAAUUCCGAGUGUAGAGGUGAAAUUCGUAGAUAUUCGGAGGAACACCAGUGGCGAAGGCGGCUCACUGGCUCGAUACUGACGCUGAGGUGCGAAAGCGUGGGGAGCAAAC
rnacentral:rRNA from 1 species